CGCACGGGUGAGUAACGCGUAUGCAACUUGCCUAUCAGAGGGGGAUAACCCGGCGAAAGUCGGACUAAUACCGCAUGAAGCAGGGGCCCCGCAUGGGGAUAUUUGCUAAAGAUUCAUCGCUGAUAGAUAGGCAUGCGUUCCAUUAGGCAGUUGGCGGGGUAACGGCCCACCAAACCGACGAUGGAUAGGGGUUCUGAGAGGAAGGUCCCCCACAUUGGUACUGAGACACGGACCAA
rnacentral:rRNA from 1 species